rnacentral:rRNA from 1 species
UACAGUGGGUGCGAGCGUUAAUCGGAAUUACUGGGCGUAAAGCGCACGUAGGUGGCGACGUAAGUCGGGUGUGAAAGCCCCGGGCUCAACCUGGGAAUUGCAUUCGAGACUGCAUUGCUGGAGUACGGAAGAGGAGGGCGGAAUUCCCGGUGUAGCGGUGAAAUGCGUAGAUAUCGGGAGGAACAUCAGUGGCGAAGGCGGCCCUCUGGUCCUGUACUGACACUCAAGUGUGAAAGCGUGGGGAGCAAACAGG